rnacentral:rRNA from 1 species
AGAGUUUGAUCCUGGCUCAGAAACGAACGCUAUCUAUAUUGCUUAAACAUGCAAGUCGAACGUGCUUGCUUCCCCAUUCCAUCCACGUGGGGGCAGAAGGGCAAGAUGAAAUGCCCCCUCUUAGCGCAUGCUCACUCACUCAAAUGAUAUGUGAGUGGUGGGCGUGGGGCAUAGCAAGCAAACUUGUGGAAAAUGGGUGCGUUACGCGUGGGAAUCUACUAAAUAGUUCACUCCAAAUCCUAAAUAAUUCAUAAAGCAAGCUAAUUGCGCUGUUUCGAUGAGCCCACGUAGUAUCAGGUAGUUGUUUAGGUAAGGCUGACCAAGCCAAUGAUGCUUAGCUGGUUUUUUCGGAUGAUCAGCCACACUAGGACUAAGACACAACCCAGACUCCCUUGGGGAGUAGAAGUGGGGGAUAUUGGACAAUGGGCUCACGCCUAAUCCAACAAUAUCGCAUGGGUGAAGAAGGGAAUUGUCGCUUUUCAAGCUUUUUCGUCGAGUUUUGAUCAUGACAAGACUCGAGGAAGAAGCCCCAGCUAACUCUGUGCCAGGGCAGCCGCGGGUAAUACGGGGGGGGGCAAGUGUUAUUCGGAAUAGACUGGCGUAAAGGGCACGUAGGCGCGUUGAAAGGGUGGAAAGUGAAAGUCGCCAAAACACUGCGGGGUGCUUCUUGACCAUUUCACUUGAGGAGGAUAGGGAGAGUUGGAUUUCUGUGGAGGGAUCAAAUCCUAAGAUAUACGAAGGAACGCCAACCACAAAGGCAACUCUCUAGGUCCCCACUGACGCUGGGGUGCAAAAGCAUGGGGAGCAAACAAGAUCAGAUACCCUAGGAGUCCAUGCUGUAAGCGAUGAGUGUUCAUCCUUGGUCUGCCUACCUACUAGGUAGGAUUAGCGUUAGGGGCCUAGCUAACGAGUGAAACACUUUACCUAGGGAGUACGGUCGCAAGAUUGAAACUCAAAUGAAUUGACAAGGGCCUACACAAGUGGUGGAGCAUGUGGUUUAAUUCGAUACAAGCGCAGAACCUUCCAGCCCUUGACAUAUGACAGUGGUGGCCUGUCCUUACGGGAUGGUGCGAAAAAUUCAUACAGGUUGCUGCAUGGCUGUCGUCAGCUUCGGUGUCGUGAGAUGUUUGGUUAGUCCUAUAAUUUUAGCGAAACCUUGGUUUUGUUUUGCCUGAGUAAUGCGGCUCACGGAUCAAUGUCAUCGCCGCCUUCUCAAGGGCGAGGGUGAGUAAGCUAACUCUUAGAGGCAAGCGCCUCUUUUUGAUUCAUGACACUUCUAUGAAGGCAGGUGUGUGCUGCACUCACAAGAGACUGCUAGUGAUAUGUUGGAGGAAGGUGGGGAUGAUGUCAAGUCUGCAUGGCCCUUAU